rnacentral:rRNA from 1 species
GAUGAACGCUGGCGGCGUGCCUAAUACAUGCAAGUCGAGCGAACGGACGAGAAGCUUGCUUCUCUGAUGUUAGCGGCGGACGGGUGAGUAACACGUGGAUAACCUACCUAUAAGACUGGGAUAACUUCGGGAAACCGGAGCUAAUACCGGAUAAUAUUUUGAACCGCAUGGUUCAAAAGUGAAAGACGGUCUUGCUGUCACUUAUAGAUGGAUCCGCGCUGCAUUAGCUAGUUGGUAAGGUAACGGCUUACCAAGGCAACGAUGCAUAGCCGACCUGAGAGGGUGAUGGGCCACACUGGAACUGAGAACCGGUCCAGACUCCAACGGGAGGCAGCAGUAGGGAAUUUUCCGCAAGGGGCGAAAGCCUGACGGAGCAACGCCGGGGGGGGGAUGAAGGUCCUGGGAUCGUAAAACUCUUUUAUUGGGGAAAAACAUAUGUGUAAGUAACUGUGCACAUCUUGACGGUACCUAAUCAGAAAGCCACGGCUAACUACGG